CUACGGGACGCUGCAGUGGGGAAUAUUGGACAAUGGGGGGAAACCCUGAUCCAGCAAUGCCGCGUGUGUGAAGAAGGCCUGCGGGUUGUAAAGCACUUUCGGUUGGGAGGAUUGCUUCUAGCACUAAUAUUGUUGGAAGUUGACGUUACCUUCAGAAGAAGCACCGGCUAACUCCGUGCCAGCAGCCGCGGUAAUACGGAGGGUGCAAGCGUUAAUCGGAAUUACUGGGCGUAAAGCGCGCGUAGGCGGCUAGAUCAGUCGGGUGUGAAAGCCCCGGGCUUAACCGGGGAACUGCAUCCGAUACUGUCUAGCUUGAGUACAGGAGAGGAGAGUGGAAUUCCACAUGUAGCGGUGAAAUGCGUAGAUAUGUGGAGGAACACCAAUGGCGAAGGCAGCUCUCUGGCCUGAUACUGACGCUGAGGUGCGAAAGCGUGGGGAGCAAGCAGGAUUAGAUACCCGGGUAGUC
rnacentral:rRNA from 1 species